rnacentral:rRNA from 1 species
GGAUGAAGGAUUAACCAAAGAAAUUAUCUCUUUUUUAUAUACAUUAAAUUUUACUUUUUAGUUAAAAGGCUAAAAUGAUUUUUUUAGACAAGAAGACCCUAUAAAGCUUUACAUACUAAAAUUUGAGAGACUUUUAUUAUGUUUAACUGGGGCGGUAAAGAGAUAAACACUCUUAAAUUAUUAGAUAUCUUAAUAUUAAUACCCAAAACUUUUGAAAAUUAAAUAAGUUACUUUAGGGAUAACAGCGUUAUAUGUUUAGAGAGUUCUAAUCGAAAAAUAUGUUUGCGACCUCGAUGUUGAAUUAAAUUUUCUUUAUUAUGCAAAAGUAAUAUAAGAAGGUCUGUUCGACCUUUAAAAAUUUCCA